rnacentral:rRNA from 1 species
AAACGACUCUCGGCAACGGAUAUCUCGGYUCUCGCAUCGAUGAAGAACGUAGCGAAAUGCGAUACUUGGUGUGAAUUGCAGAAUCCCGCGAACCAUCGAGUCUUUGAACGCAAGUUGCGCCCGAAGCCAUCAGGCCGAGGGCACGUCUGCCUGGGCGUCACGC